CAUGACGAGCUACAACUGGGACACGAGUACCACUAUAUGUGCCAGAAUCUCGAGAUCUCUUGGCCUCCCUCUUCUCUCUCUCCCGAGUCAGCAUACCUUCCAAUCUAUUAGCGAUCCACACUACCUGCUGGUAUGUGAUGUCCAUCCCCACAAAGAGAAUUUUGACAACUGCAAAAAAAAAAGGGCAAACAAAAAAAUAAUGAAAGAGUUUAUAAAGGAAAGACAAUGAAAAAAGGGAGGUUAAAUUAUUUUAGAAAGAAGGAAGACAAUUGUACUUAAUUGUUAAAAGUAUUAUGGUGCUUGUAAGAGACUUGGGUCACUUUAUCCAUAUGUAUCUUACAUGUCCUUAAACCAACAUUACAACCUUAUUAAAGCCUUACAUAAUCUCAACUCAAAGGCUCCUAUAUUAGUGGAGAACCACAUGAUAGUCAAGCUUAUGAAAAUUUUCAGUGGCUUGAGAUACUUUUUUGUUGAGAGUGAGCAAAUUUUUCAAUGUCCUUCUUUGUUUUGUAUUGAUAUAUUGUGAUUUAUGGGCAUCUCUCUUCAUUUGGUGAGACACACUUGGGAUUAAAAAGUAUUGUCACACCUCCACGUUUCUCGUGGGAUAAGAAAGAAAGGAGUUUUUCCAAUUUAAGUGACAUUAUUCGAAAUGGGAUUAUUUAUUUAAUCAGAGUCGCCACUUGGGAUAAUUUCUGGUGUCCCAAGUCACCGGUUUAUUUGAAAUCCCAAAUCGAGGAAGUUUUGACUCCGAAUUACGGUCCGCGAACAUAGAAGACCGGGUAAGGAAUUCUGUUAACCCGAGAGAAAGUGUGAGGCACUCUCGAAUUCCGUAGUUUUAGCACGGUUGCUUUAAUCAUACCUGGCUUAAUUAAAUUAUUUAAUUACUCAUUUUAGAACCUAUGUACAUUUACCUUUUUAUCGCUUUUAAUUGCUUUAUUAUUCGUAAUUAUGGAAUUAUCUUGAAACGAAUCACGCGUACGUGUAUUCGUUUUGUUUGGUAUGUCAUGAAUCAUGUCACGCGUACGUGUACACAAUUAAUAACACUUUAUUAUUUUUAAGAUUGUUUUGUCAAAGUUGCGCGAACGCAUACUUUGCCUUUAAUUUGGGAAAUCGUAACUAUGUCACGCGAACGUGUACAUAAUCACGAUAAUUGAUUGGUUAACACGCGCCUAAAGCAUACUAGCGUAUUUAGAGUAUUCUAUUUAUCUAUCUUUUUUUAUCUCUAUCAGCUCCAAAUCAGAAUCCAAACAUGUUAAAAUAAGAGAAUAUUAAAAAUAAUAAAUCAAAUCACAAAUCAAACCAAAUAUAGAUAUUCACUAUUAAUCACACUAAAAGAAAGAUCGUAAAACUAAUCAAUGGAAAUGUCACCCACUUCUCUCGUGUGUCUUACAAACAAAACAAAAAAUUCCAAACAACGCAUAAAGUAAGAUUCAAAUAAAAUCUAAAUCCAAAACAUGAUACAAGGAUCUUACAUAAAUUUUUGAAGGGAAGUAAAAUUAUAUUUUUGAAAGGUGAUACUGCCGUAAAUUAGUGGUCAAUAAAAAAACUCAUGGUCAACUUAAUUUAAAGCCUCAGAAACUACUUAUUAAUGAAUAACACAACAUCAUACAUAAUUCUAUUGAUUAAAUACUCUUACUUAUUUAGCAAUAACAUCAUUUUAACACCAAAACAAAAGCUAGGAAAGAAUAUCUUAGCCUCGCAACAGUGAAUAGGACAUGCUGAAAAAUUAGAUAUAAACAAAUUUUAACUUUUAAUUUUGAGGCAAGGUAAAAAAAAAAGAAUAAAAUAUAUAUAGUCAUCCAAACUACAGUAACUGAUUAAAGUAGUAAACCAAAGUAUAUUCUUUUCAAUUACACCUUAAAGAUCUAAACUUUAAUCCCUACGUGACUUUAACACUUAAGAACAAACUCUAACUACUUAAAAAAACUAAUUUUUAAACAAACAAACAGAAACAAAACAAAAGAGAAAAUAAUGAAACAUUUAGAUAAAACUAAACCAAAAUAGAAGCCUUAAAGAAAAAAAAAUAGAUUAAAAAGAAAGAAUCUUUUAUUGAUGGAUUUCUAACCUUUUGUUGUGUACAGAGAAGACAAGAACUUUAAUUUAGGAAAUAGAAAUCAACGAUGGCUUUCUUCCUUUUCUCUCAAUUUUUGUUUUCCUCUCCUGUUCAAAAUUUUCUCUUUUUCAAAAAUUGGACCCCUCCUUUCUGUUCAAAGUUUUUGUCUUCGUC
rnacentral:lncRNA from 1 species